CCUACGGGAGGCAGCAGUGGGGAAUCUUGCGCAAUGGGCGAAAGCCUGACGCAGCAACGCCGCGUGCGGGAAGAAGGCUUUCGGGCUGUAAACCGCUUUCAGCAGGAACGAAAAUGACGGUACCUGCAGAAGAAGGAGCGGCCAACUAUGUGCCAGCAGCCGCGGUGAUACAUAGGCUUCAAGCGUUGUCCGGAUUUAUUGGGCGUAAAGAGUUCGUAGGCGGUCGAGUAAGUCGGGUGUGAAAAUUCUGGGCUCAACCCAGAGACGCCACCCGAUACUGCUUGACUUGAGUUCGAUAGGGGAGUGGGGAAUUCCUAGUGUAGCGGUGAAAUGCGCAGAUAUUAGGAGGAACACCGGUGGCGAAGGCGCCACUCUGGAUCGAUACUGACGCUGAGGAACGAAAGCAUGGGUAGCAAACAGGAUUAGAUACCCUGGUAGUCCAUGCCGUAAACGGUGGGCACUAGGUGUGGGUUUCUAUUAACGAAAUCCGCGCCGUCGCUAACGCAUUAAGUGCCCCGCUGGGGAGUACGGUCGCAAGACUAAAACUCAAAGGAAUUGACGG
rnacentral:rRNA from 1 species